rnacentral:rRNA from 1 species
GGAGGAAAGUAGGGGAUCGCAAGACCUUGCGCUUUUUGAGCGGCCGAUGCCUGAUUAGCUAGUUGGUAAGGUAAUGGCUUACCAAGGCAACGAUCAGUAGCUGGUCUGAGAGGACGACCAGCCACACUGGGACUGAGACACGGCCCAGACUCCUACGGGAGGCAGCAGUGGGGAAUUUUGGACAAUGGGCGAAAGCCUGAUCCAGCCAUGCCGCGUGAGUGAAGAAGGCCUUCGGGUUGUAAAGCUCUUUCGGUCGGGAAGAAAUAGUUGUGGCUAAUAUCCACAAUGAAUGACAGUACCGACAUAAGAAGCACCGGCUAACUACGUGCCAGCAGCCGCGGUAAUACGUAGGGUGCAAGCGUUAAUCGGAAUUAUUGGGCGUAAAGGGUGCGCAGGCGGUUGUAUAAGUCAGAUGUGAAAUCCCUGGGCUUAACCUAGGAAUUGCGUUUGAAACUACAAAGCUAG